GUGUGCGAGUGACAUGCGUGCAUCGUUAAUCACUGACGUCCCAUGACCUCCGUGAGGAACAUCGGCCCGAACUGCACACCCUUCAUCCCUAUCCCUAUCGCCUUACUACGCCACGUUUCUCCUCUCUCUAUACCGAUGCACCCUGCGCGCGCGCACACGCGUAUGUACAGUACACCUCUCGGUGCCACCGCACGACAUGCGUGCACCGAGAAUGUCGAUGUGAGAGAGCGUCUGCCCCCGGAACUGCUGCAAUCAAUACCAACUGAUGUGCACACAUUUGUGCCUGUAGAGCUUUCGUGCAUGGACGUUCCCGCGCAGUGUCCACGACAUGUCCCGUAUUUCGCGAUAUUUCUUCUAGUGUAAAGGGCUACCGCGGACUUAUGGAGUUUUUUCAAAGUAGUUAGAAAUACAGCUAGAAAUUAAUUUUUAUACUUAUUUCAAGACAAAAGACUCUUUUUUCAUUUUGCAUUAGAAUUAUUGAUUCGUCUUUAUUUAUCUUAACUAAAUAUUCUGGGAAUGUUACAUAUAUACACCGAGAAUAUAGAAUUUAUAAUUGAUAGAAAUUAUCCGACAGUCUUAAUGACAUAUCAGUUAAAAUUAUCAUUGCUAAAAUAAUUAAAUAUCGAACCAUUUACGUGAAUAAGUUACAUCCAAGUGCUUCUUUAAAUAUAAGUUUCUAUUUUUAUCUGCAAUGUUACUUAUGUUCUCACCAUGACGACAUCGACACGCUAUUGACGACUCCACGUGUGUCUUUUCCUAUCAAUAAAAGAAUCCAUUGUUCUACGCUACUUAUGGGGCACCCCGGGGGCUGCUUCCUGAUCCGGAAGGAACAACGAAAGGAGAACCGAUAACGUCAAUGCGCGCACCACGCAGCUUUUCUCGCGUGUUUCGGUCGGACCACACACUGUGUACUGAGUGCCUCUAAAUGCAACCUAUUUACUCACCGCACCGCCUACAGGAUAUCUCGGGGAGAAAUGACUACCACUCUAACAAGACGUAAUGUAUACGUUUUCAGAAGAUUGUUCUUUUCCGCUAUUGUAACCGGUCGCGCCAAGGGACGUCUAGCACUUGCCUUUGCUCUCUUUUUCUCUUUAUCAUUUUACUGUUAACAUUUUUUUACGAUAACGUUAUCGAUAUAUUUCGCAUCGGAUUAUCGGAUUAAUCACUGAUCUUUUAAAAAUAAUAAAAA
rnacentral:lncRNA from 1 species